CCCUGUCGAAACUGGUCUAGCCAGUCUCAGAAGAGAAAGAUCAGCUGGGAGGCCGUGUCUUCCUUUCUUCUACCAACACCCCCCCUCCUCCCUCCCCAGGAGAGACUGCCUUGUGAACCUGAAGCACUGCAUGCAGUUUUGCCUCUGACUGAGGUGUGGCCAUUCUACUACAUGCUGCAAUAAGAACCGGAGUGACCCAGGAUUAGAAGAACACAAG
rnacentral:lncRNA from 11 species